AGCGAACGCUGGCGGCAGGCUUAACACAUGCAAGUCGAACGCCCGUAGCAAUACGGGAGUGGCAGACGGGUGAGUAACGCGUGGGAACACGCCCUUUGGUCCGGAAUAACUCAGGGAAACUUGAGCUAAUACCGGAUAAGCCCGAGAGGGGAAAGAUUUAUCGCCGAAGGAUUGGCCCGCGUCCGAUUAGCUAGUUGGUGAGGUAAUGGCUCACCAAGGCGACGAUCGGUAGCUGGUCUGAGAGGAUGAUCAGCCACACUGGGACUGAGACACGGCCCAGACUCCUACGGGAGGCAGCAGUGGGGAAUAUUGGACAAUGGGGGCAACCCUGAUCCAGCCAUGCCGCGUGAGUGAUGAAGGCCCUAGGGUUGUAAAGCUCUUUCGGCGGGGACGAUAAUGACGGUACCCGCAGAAGAAGCCCCGGCUAACUUCGUGCCAGCCGCCGCGGUAAGAC
rnacentral:rRNA from 1 species